CAUAUUUUUCUUCGGACUUGGGAACCCAUUCGUUUUCAACCUUUUUGGUUGGAAUUUGAUUUCCCUUUUUUAUCACCUUCCAAAGAUGAAAAUUGUUUGCUUGAACGAAGAUUUUCAUCCUCUCCUUCCAGUACGUAUAGUUUAUACCGUUGAAUAGUGGUGGUCGGGUGGAGCACUGUCCUUCCUCUAUUCCUGCAAAAGAGUCACGAGUAGAAGCCAU
rnacentral:lncRNA from 1 species